GAGUUUGAUCCUGGCUCAGGAUGAACGCUGGCGGCGUGCCUAAUACAUGCAAGUCGAGCGAACUGAUUAGAAGCUUGCUUCUAUGACGUUAGCGGCGGACGGGUGAGUAACACGUGGGCAACCUGCCUGUAAGACUGGGAUAACUUCGGGAAACCGAAGCUAAUACCGGAUAGGAUUUUCUCCUUCAUGGGAGAUUAUUGAAAGAUGGUUUCGGCUAUCACUUACAGAUGGGCCCGCGGUGCAUUAGCUAGUUGGUGAGGUAACGGCUCACCAAGGCAACGAUGCAUAGCCGACCUGAGAGGGUGAUCGGCCACACUGGGACUGAGACACGGCCCAGACUCCUACGGGAGGCAGCAGUAGGGAAUCUUCCGCAAUGGACGAAAGUCUGACGGAGCAACGCCGCGUGAGUGAUGAAGGCUUUCGGGUCGUAAAACUCUGUUGUUAGGGAAGAACAAGUACGAGAGUAACUGCUCGUACCUUGACGGUACCUAACCAGAAAGCCACGGCUAACUACGUGCCAGCAGCCGCGGUAAUACGUAGGUGGCAAGCGUUAUCCGGAAUUAUUGGGCGUAAAGCGCGCGCAGGCGGUUUCUUAAGUCUGAUGUGAAAGCCCACGGCUCAACCGUGGAGGGUCAUUGGAAACUGGGGAACUUGAGUGCAGAAGAGAAAAGCGGAAUUCCACGUGUAGCGGUGAAAUGCGUAGAGAUGUGGAGGAACACCAGUGGCGAAGGCGGCUUUUUGGUCUGUAACUGACGCUGAGGCGCGAAAGCGUGGGGAGCAAACAGGAUUAGAACCCUGGUAGUCCACGCCGUAAACGAUGAGUGCUAAGUGUUAGAGGGUUUCCGCCCUUUAGUGCUGCAGCUAACGCAUUAAGCACUCCGCCUGGGGAGUACGGUCGCAAGACUGAAACUCAAAGGAAUUGACGGGGGCCCGCACAAGCGGUGGAGCAUGUGGUUUAAUUCGAAGCAACGCGAAGAACCUUACCAGGUCUUGACAUCCUCUGACAACUCUAGAGAUAGAGCGUUCCCCUUCGGGGGACAGAGUGACAGGUGGUGCAUGGUUGUCGUCAGCUCGUGUCGUGAGAUGUUGGGUUAAGUCCCGCAACGAGCGCAACCCUUGAUCUUAGUUGCCAGCAUUCAGUUGG
rnacentral:rRNA from 1 species